rnacentral:rRNA from 1 species
CAAUAGCGUAUAUUUAAGUUGCUGCAGUUAAAAAGCUCGUAGUUGGAUUUCGGGUGGGAAUGGCCGGUCCGCCGUUUCGGCGUGCACUUGCUACGCCCACCUUGCUGCCGGGGACGUGCUCUCGAGUUCACGCUCGGGACACGGAGUCGGCGAGGUUACUUUGAGUAAAUUAGAGUGUUCAAAGCAGGCCCACGCUCUGAAUACAUUAGCAUGGAAUAACACGAUAGGACUCUGGCCUAUCUUGUUGGUCUGUAGGACCGGAGUAAUGAUUAAGAGGGACAGUCGGGGGCAUUCGUAUUUCGUUGUCAGAGGUGAAAUUCUUGGAUUUAUGAAAGACGAACUACUGCGAAAGCAUUUGCCAAGGAUGUUUUCAUUAA